GAUCUCCAGAAGAUGACAAAUGGGAGGGAUGAACUCUGGGGAAUCCUGGCCCAUUACACUAACAAGGAUUUGAACAACAACAGGAUCAACUUUGAGGCCUUCAUGCUCGAGAUGCAACACCAACAGGUGAUAGCCAACCUGCAGAAAAUGUCCCAGGACAUC
rnacentral:lncRNA from 1 species